GCCACACGUCCGAAGAUCUCUCUCUCCCUUCGUCCUCAGCUUCUCCCCCCAGCGAAGACUCCAUCUUUCUCCACUGAAGCCGCGAAACAAGUUCACCGAGUUUUCUCCCCCAAGCUGCCGCACCUUCGUCCGCUUCUCCACUUUAGGCCAUGAUUCCCUGUAGCUCCACCCACCGAACUAAUUCAUUCAGUUCGGUCAACCAGCGAAGCUGGUGUUGACCGUGAAACCUCCACUCACCAAAACCCCAGCGGCUUCUUCAUCCACGACUCAGCAUCAACGCCAACGGACGCCCCCCAUCUCCACCGAAAUCUCCUUGCCACCCGUCCAACGUCUGCGCUCUCUCGGUCAACCAGCAAGUCACCGAAUUCCUUGGUUGACUGAGCAAUUCCUGCCGCUGCCACGUCCACCGACAAUCUUCAAGCAGCCACGUCCAAUGAAGCUGCAGCUUCCACUGAAGACUCUUCAUCCGCGCCUCUUCUUCUUCAGCCGCGCGAGGCCUUCCACUGAAGAAGACUCACGUCCGUGGACUUAAGCGAAUUGAAGACCCCAGCGAAGCCACGUUGCGUCUUCUUCCCACGUCCAUCGACGCCAACAGCUGCUCCCCAUCUCUGCCACGUUUCGGUCCAUUUCACCGGUCAAGACCCAGCUGAAAACCGCUGAAGAUUGACCGAAGAAAUCCCCCACCGAGCGAAGCUGCAUCUUGUCCCCUUGUUGCCAGCGAAGCUCGAAGAUUCCAGUGCACGCCAGCAGCUGCUUCUCCAGUUCGUGGGCCAACCGCAGCAGCCCAGCCCACGCGUGACACCAGCUCCAACAGUCUUCGGUCUUCUCCAGCGGCCUGCCCUUAGCCCAACACUUUCAAUCAUUUGGGCCCAGUAAAGUUCAGUCCAGCUGAGGGCCAUUUCAAGCCCAGUCAAAUUACUUCAGCUGCAGCCCAGCCCAGUCCACGUGAGUUAAUUGGCCAAGCCCAAUUUCCAGCAAAGCAAUUGAAGUCCAGCCCAUAUCUUGAAGCCUAGUUCAGUUUUGUUUCAAGCCCAUCUCAGCCCGAGUGUCGAGUCCAACAUCAUUUGUAUUUCAGCAAGGCCCAGCAAGUUCAGCCUAUCUUGGGCCCGUGAAGCAAGUCGGCCCAAGGCCAGCCUUUGUUGUGGGCUUGUGAGGCUUGUAGGCCCGGCUCGAGUGUCUAUCGUCGCCGCCGAAACUUUGGAAUUCGGCCGCCAUCGCGGUUUUCGAUCUUCGCUUUACCAAGACCCGGAUAAGGAGCUUAAGGAGGAGGAACCUGACGAGGAAAACCGUGAGGAGAAAGAACUCAAAGAGGAGUAUCUGAAAGAGAACCCCAAGGAUGAUCCAGAGUAGGAUCCUGAUGACUAUUGCUUUAGAAUCUAAUUGAGUAGAAACCAACCUUUUUAGCAUGGUUUGUCUAUGUACAUGUAUGACUGAGUCAUUAUAGAUGUACAUAAGGGUGUUGACUUUUAGGUUCAAUUUUCUAGUCCUACUUAUCUAUCUCAUUGUUUUAUUGUCUG